rnacentral:rRNA from 1 species
ACAGGUGGUGCAUGGUUGUCGUCAGCUCGUGUCGUGAGAUGUUGGGUUAAGUCCCGCAACGAGCGCAACCCUCGCCUCUAGUUGCCAGCAUUCGGUUGGGCACUCGUAGAGGGACUGCCGGCGACAAGUCGGAGGAAGUGGGAUGACGUCAAUCAUCAUGCCCCUUAUGACCUGGGCUACACACGUGCUACAAUGGGCGGUACAAAGGGCUGCGAACCCGCGAGGGGGAGCGAAUCCCAAAAAGCCGCUCUCAGUUCGGAUUGCAGGCUGCAACUCGCCUGCAUGAAGCCGGAAUCGCUAGUAAUCGCGGAUCAGCAUGCCGCGGUGAAUACGUUCCCGGGCCUU